CUUUUAUUCGGACGACUGCAUUCUGAGAUGGAGAUGGGUUCGGCCACGUCUGUUGAUGGCGCCACUCUGAUGAGUAGCUUUGCGCGUCCGACGACUUCGUCAGCCGUUGGAGUUGUUUAUAUUUGUUUGAUUUCUGCCUCUUAUAUUUCUGUUUUUUUAUUACGAUUUAUUUUGGUUCGUUUAGGUUUUCGUAUCUGUUUUGCUUAUUUGAAUUUAA
rnacentral:lncRNA from 1 species